rnacentral:rRNA from 1 species
CAAUAGCGUAUAUUAAAGUUGUUGCAGUUAAAAAGCUCGUAGUCUGAGUCUUGACCUGGUGCCGAGCGUCCGCUGCGUCUUUUGUGCGUGGCGUGCAUGCUGUUGGUGCGCGGGUCACGUUUUGUACUUCGGAGGAAUGGCUGUGUGCUAUUCAUUUAGUGCCGGUUCAGGAUUCCGAUUGUUUACUUUGAGAAAAAUAGAGUGUUCAAAGCAGGCGUUGAUUGCCUUUGAAUACAUUAGCAUGGGAUAAUGGAAUAGGACAUUGGUUCUAUUUUGUUGGUUUACGGACCGAUGUAAUGAUUAAUAGGAACAGUUGGGGACAUUGGUAUUCCACGGCUAGAGGUGAAAUUCUUGGAUUCGUGGAAGACCAACUACUGCGAAAGCAUUUGUCAAAGAUGUUUUCAUUGA